rnacentral:rRNA from 1 species
GGCUCAGGACGAACGCUGGCGGCGUGCUUAACACAUGCAAGUCGAACGGAAAGGCCCUGCUUUUGUGGGGUGCUCGAGUGGCGAACGGGUGAGUAACACGUGAGUAACCUGCCCUUGACUUUGGGAUAACUUCAAGAAACUGGGGCUAAUACCGGAUAGGAGCUCCUGCUGCAUGGUGGGGGUUGGAAAGUUUCGGCGGUUGGGGAUGGACUCGCGGCUUAUCAGCUUGUUGGUGGGGUAGUGGCUUACCAAGGCUUUGACGGGUAACCGGCCUGAGAGGGUGACCGGCCACAUUGGGACUGACAUACCGCCCAUACUCCUACAGGAGGCAACACUGGGGAAUAUUGCACAAUGGGCGGAAGCCUGAUGCACCAACGCCGCGUGCGGGAUGACGGCCUUCGGGUUGAAAACCGCUUUCGCCUGCGACGAAGCGUGAGUGACGGUAAUGGGUAAAGAAGCACCGGCUAACAACGUGCCAGCAACCGCGGUGAUACGUAUGGUGCGAGCGUUGUCCGGAUUUAUUGGCCUUAAAGGGCUCGUAGGUGGUUGAUCGCUGCGCAAGCGUAAUCUUGGUGCUUAAACCUGAGCGUGCUUUCGAUACCGCUUGACUUGAGGAAGGUAGGGGAGAAUGGAAUUCCUGGUGGAGCGGUGGGAAUGCGCAGAUAUCAGGGAGGAAACCCCAGUGGCGAAGGCGUUUCUUUGGGCCUUUCCUGACGCUGAGGAGCGAAAGCGUGGGGAGCGAACAGGCUUAGAUACCCUGGUAGUCCACGCUGUAAACGGUGGGUACUAGGUGUGGGGUCCAUUCCACGGGUUCCGUGCCGUAGCUAACGCUUUAAGUACCCCGCCUGGGGAGUACGGCCGCAAGGCUAAAACUCAAAGGAAUUGACGGGGCCCCGCACAAGCGGCGGAGCAUGCGGAUUAAUUCGAUGCAACGCGUAGAACCUUACCUGGGUUUGACAUGGAUCGGGAGCGCUCAGAGAUGGGUGUGCCUCUUUUGGGGUCGGUUCACAGGUGGUGCAUGGCUGUCGUCAGCUCGUGUCGUGAGAUGUUGGGUUAAGUCCCGCAACGAGCGCAACCCUUGUUCACUGUUGCCAGCACGUUAUGGUGGGGACUCAGUGGAGACCGCCGGGGUCAACUCGGAGGAAGGUGGGGAUGACGUCAAGUCAUCAUGCCCCUUAUGUCCAGGGCUUCACGCAUGCUACAAUGGCUGGUACAGAGAGUGGCGAGCCUGUGAGGGUGAGCGAAUCUCGGAAAGCCGGUCUCAGUUCGGAUUAGGGUCUGCAACUCGACCUCAUGAAGUCGGAGUCGCUAGUAAUCGCAGAUCAGCAACGCUGCGGUGAAUACGUUCCCGGGGCUUGUACACACCGCCCGUCAAGUCAUGAAAGUUGGUAACACCCGAAGCCGGUGGCCUAACCGUUGUGGGGGAGCCGUCGAAGGUGGGACUGGUGA